GACACAGUGGAUUAAUGGUAGAUCGUCUCCAACUUAUCCUAAGACAAUAAACCAAGGUUAUGCUGUAAAAAUCACGGUUCGAAUCCGUGUUGUGGCA
rnacentral:tRNA from 1 species